ensembl:lncRNA
GUUCGAGAGAGAGAGAGGAGCGGUGUGCACAUAGGCUUCCUGCUUUACAAGCAAAGGAUAAAAGGGCUAUUCAGAGGAGUUUCGGCGCGGUGGGUCUUUGUGGAGCAGUUUUGGGCACAAGCUUGCCCAGGGAAGUUAUUUGGGCGUGAAGGUUUCCUGUUGAAGUCUCCGGGGAAAAGGUUUUUCUAUUGAAGUCUGCUGGAACAGAGUUCGUCUGUGGGAAUCUGCUGGACUGAUUUAUCGAUUGGAUCUGCGCUGUGAAGGGAGAGAGAAAGAUAAGUGAAUUGAUUUCAUCUUACAAACAUUCGAAAAGCUUGAAGAGGAUACAGUGAAUGUAAAUCUGACUGUUGGGGAAGCUAUGUGUUUCAGAGUGUGCUGAAGAGGAAUUGAGGAUUGAAUAUCCCCCACGGGAGUGUAACGAAUGGAUUGAGACCUCUGAUCAGCCUUACCAAUCCCUUACCUGUCUAUUUACCACCUGAGUCCUGGAAGUAUGCAGCAUCGCUGGUGAAGUAAGCUUUUAAGCCACUGUCUCACUCACGUGCACCGACGCCAGUAUCCUGUACUGAGAAGACUUCUUACCUCCCUAGGUACCGUCUGAGUCUGGAAGUACGCAGCAUCGCUGAGGAAGUAAGCUUUUAAAUUAUUCUUUCUAAUGUGCCCCGGCGAAAGUAUUCUGUACUGCGAGGGAUGCUUACCUGUCUACUCACCGUCGGAGUCCCGAAGGAUGCAGUAUUUCUGCCCUAGGAAGGAACAUAUUGCUGUGGGGAAAUUCUUGCCUUCUUACUUACCGUCUGAGUCUGGAAGUAUGCAGCAUUGCUGAGGAAGCAAGCUUUUAAAUUACUCUUUCUCUAAUGUGCCCUGACGAAAGUAUUCUGUACUGCGAAGAACCCUGACCUGUCUACUCACCGACGGAGUCCUGAAGAAUGCAGCAUUGUUGGUGAAACUCACUGCCCGAGUCUUGAAGAGAGCCGCCCUAUUGGUGAAGUCGCCGUCAGGGCGAAACUGCGACGUACGAUCAUUACCUCUUGUCUGCGUUGUCCAUCUGUUGCGGACCUGUGGUGUCGGCUCCUCACGGUGGGGUCUAAGUAAGGGGUGGCUGGUCAUCCGAGUCCACCCCGGUGACAUAAAGUGGCGUAGUCGGCAGG